rnacentral:rRNA from 1 species
AUUGAACUCUGGCGGCAGGCCUAACACAUGCAAGUCGAGCGAGCGGCGGACGUGUGAGUAAUUUUUUGGUAUCUGCCAGAUAUAGGGGGAUAACUACUGGAAACGGUUGCUAAUACCGCAUAUUAUCUGAUGAGCCUAGAUGGGCUUAUCUAGUAGGUAAGGUAAUGGCGGACCUAGGCGACGAUCCCUAGCUGGUCUGCGAGGAUGAACAGCCACACUGGAACGGAUACACGGUCCAGACUACUACGGGAGGCAGCAGUGGGGAAUAGUGCACAAUGGGGGCAAGCCUGAUGCAGCCAUGCCGCGUGUAUGAAGAAGGCCAGAGGGUUGUAAAGUACAUUCAGCCGGGAGGCGUUACCGACAGAAGAAGCACCGGCUAACUCCGUGCCAGCAGCCGCGGUAAUAC